rnacentral:rRNA from 1 species
UAAUACGUAGGUGGCGAGCGUUAUCCGGAAUUACUGGGCGUAAAGCGCACGCAGGCGGUUCGGCAAGUUCGACGUGAAAACUCCCGGCUUAACUGGGAGAGGUCGUUGAAAACUGCCGGGCUUGAGGCAAUGAGAGGGGUGUAGAAUUCCCGGUGUAGUGGUGGAAUGCGUAGAUAUCGGGGGGAAUACCAGUGGCGAAAGCGGCACCCUAGCGUUGUUCUGACGCUCAUGUGCGAAAGCGUGGGGAGCGAACGGG